rnacentral:misc_RNA from 1 species
UACUUAUAAUGUAAGUUUCAUAAAGCACCUGUCAAUAUCUUCUUUAAUAAUGGUUUAUACAGUUUUAUUUAGUUCAAGUAAAGUAUUUUAUACCGUACGUUUUGUAUAAUGUUCAUGAGGUCCUCUUCUAUGAGGGUCAAUAAAUAAUAAUAGUUUAUCCUCAAUUAUAUUUGUUUUCUUUGGUAAGUUAGCCAUUCAGUCACCAGGAGGCACUACGGGUCUACCUUUGGCGAAUCUAAUACAGUAAGGGAGAGUUAUACUUCCUUAUAGGAUAUUCCUUGACAACAACAAGUUUCACCAUCUUGUAUAUUUUUGUCAAUUUUCUCGUAAAACAGUUUAUUUCUCCUCCUCCAGGACAUUACAGCAAGUGUUUGCACCUUACAAGUAGCAUUGGAUAAUAAGUGAACUGUGUGUUCCUAUACUUAUUGUUCGACCACAAGAGGAGACAAGCAAGCCAUAGUUAGGGCGUCUUGUGACAGAUGCUCAUUGUCUUAUUACAAGAUAAUUAUCCUUGUGGAGGAUGAAGACCUUCUACAAGAGUUCAUCUGUGAACAUGGACUAGUUGGCAGGAUGUUAAGUGUUCAAAAUGUGGCAGAGAACUGACACUCAACAAGAAAUAUUUAUUAGUGUGUAACAAAAGGUCUUACUCAUGUGAGCAUAAAAGACAAAAAAAUACACAAUGCAGCUUCAAGAAAAAUGCUUUCACUGGUACAUAGUUUUCAAACAGUAAGUUAAGUGUUUAGAAUUGUGUUUCUCUAACUAGAAUUAAACAAAAAUUUCUAGACACUAUUUACACGAUACUGAACCUGAAAACGGAAUUGAGAAUGCACAGAACCAGACCUCACCUUACCUAACAUCCUUGCCGAGGGACGGACCCUCUGCCAUAUUAAGCUAAAAGUUACGUUAGGUCAAGUUCUGUUAGAUUCUGUCGAUUCUCGUCUCCAUUUUCGUGUUCAAUAUCAUGUAAAUAGUGUCUCCAGAAAUUUUGGUUCGAUUCCAUAAGUUAUUUCUGGUGCUAACCAUCUCCUUCACCUUUACCAUACAAUAUUGUGUUGGUCGUGUUAAGUAAGGUUAAGUCAUGUUAGAUUAGGUUAAGUAUGGUUAAGUAAGUUAAGUUAGGAUAGCAUUACAGUGGUUAAUGUUAAGGUGAAAUAAGCUGGGACCAAUCUUCAGGUGAUCCCAACUAUGUUUAACUAUAUUAACUAAACAACUGGACACUGUUAAUUAAUUUACAGUAAGUAAAGUAAAAUGUUGUGUUGUGUUAAGUUGUCCCAUUGUGUGUGAUGCUACACAACACAACUCACAACAGCAGACAACACAAAGCUGAUGACAGUAUAACAUCACACAUUUGUUUUACAUUAAUAUCAACUGUUUAGAGUUGUUUAUCCCAUAUAUAUUAAUAUAUGUAUA